UCAGCUGUUAGGCUAGGUGUUGCUCCUGC
rnacentral:piRNA from 1 species